GGUAUAACUCAGUGGUAGAGUGCUUGCCUAACAUGUAUGAGGCCUUGGGUUUAAUCCCAAUCAAUACCA
rnacentral:tRNA from 1 species